rnacentral:tRNA from 1 species
GGGCUUGUGGUUUAGUGGUAUAAUACUCCCUUAGCAUCGUGUGCUCUUAUAGAGAACGGAAUAUGUGGGAGUGGUCCGGGGUUCGAUUCCCCGCGAGUCCA